CCAAUCCCGACACGGGGAGGUAGUGACAAUAAAUAACAAUAUAGGGCUCUUUCGGGUCUUAUAAUUGGAAUGAGUACAAUUUAAAUCCCUUAACGAGGAACAAUUGGAGGGCAAGUCUGGUGCCAGCAGCCGCGGUAAUUCCAGCUCCAAUAGCGUAUAUUAAAGUUGUUGCAGUUAAAAAGCUCGUAGUUGAACUUCAGACCUGGCUGGGCGGUCCGCCUAACGGCGUGUACUGUCUGGCUGGGCCUUACCUCUUGGUGAGCCGGCGUGCCCUUCAUUGGUGUGCGUCGGGGAACCAGGACUUUUACCUUGAGAAAAUUAGAGUGUUCAAAGCAGGCCUAUGCCCGAAUACAUUAGCAUGGAAUAAUAAAAUAGGACGUGCGGUUCUAUUUUGUUGGUUUCUAGAGUCGCCGUAAUGAUUAAUAGGGAUAGUUGGGGGCAUUGGUAUUGAGUCGCUAGAGGUGAAAUUCUUAGAUUGACUCAAGACCGACUAUUGCGAAAGCAUUUGCCAAGGAUGUUUUCAUUAAUCAAGAACGAAGGUUAGGGGAUCGAAAACGAUCAGAUACCGUUGUAGUCUUAACAGUAAACUAUGCCGACUAGGGAUCGGGCGACCU
rnacentral:rRNA from 1 species